AAAACUUACCUUUCCUGCUCUUCACUGACUUCUUGAUUCUCGUGGCUUUGGCUGCUAUUUUGCCUUGCUUUGCUCUGCUGUGCUAUGCACUGCUUUCUCUGUAUUUCUUGCCAUCCACUCCUUCCUUCGAGUUAUUCUUUACUUUUUGACUUGGCUUUUUUCUUCUUUUCUCUUUACCUUUCUUCUCUUGUCAUUAUUCGUUUUUCCUUUUGUUUUUUCUUUUUUCAUCUACUGUUUUUUUCUUUUCUUUUUUUCUUUCUUCUUUUUUUCAUAUUUUUCUGUUCUCUUUUUUUAUUUCUAUUUUCUUUUUUCUUUUUCUCUUUUCUUUAUCUUUUUCUUUUUUAUCAUUUCUUUUUUUCUUUUUUGUUCAUGUUUUUUUUUUUUUUUUUUUUUUUUUUUUUUUUUUUUUCCUUUUUUUUUUUUUUUCUUUUCUCUUUUUUCUUUUUUUUUUUUUUUUUCUUUUUACUCCUUUUUGUUCAUUUUUUCUUUUUUUCUUUUCAUUUUUUCUCUUUUUCUUAUUUUUCUUUUCUUUUUUCUCUUUUUUUCAUAUUUUUUGUUCUUAUUUUUCUUUUCUUUUUUCAUCAUAGGUUUGCCUUCAGCCCUCCCCUCAGCCCUUCCCUCCGCUUCUGCUCUUC
rnacentral:lncRNA from 7 species